UAGAGUAGUUGAGAGUUUAGGUAUAAAACUAUCUAUUAUCUAUAUUAAAACAAUACAAACUUAUGCCACUUGGCAUUCACUUAAACCACUCAUUGCCACGUGUAUUCCUCUUAAUUCACGCGUUUUGUGUUUAGGCGCUAAAACAAAAGCCUGUAAACCCUAAUGCAGUUUCUUCCUUCCUACGCCAAUUAUCUUUAAUUCACCCAUAAAUGAAUUCAAUCAAUGGCGGAGUUACCUUUUUAUUCUCCCAUUGAUUGAGGGUUGUUACAAUCAAAAACCCUACAUCUAGCGUUUCCUUUCAUCCUUUAUCCUCCCAAUUGAAAUGAAAGAUCUCAUCUCUCUACCACCACAUUAAUGCCGCCACCAUGGUGAUGAAGAUGAUGAAUACGAUUUUGAGGAUUGCAAUUAUGGUGAUGAAGAUGAUACGGUCCGUUCGUUUUUAUUUGAUUUUUAUGUUGUUAAUGAAUCUACUUAUGUACAUGAUUGAAUAGAAUUUAGGGAUUUGUACAAGAAGCUCAGAAUCUAACAUCUGGAUGCUACAAGAAGCUUGAAAUCGAUGAGGACUAAAAGAUUGUGGAGAUGGGUUUUGUAACUCAAAUGGUUAGCUUAUGUGAGAAGGAACCACCUGCAAUCAAGAAGUCCAAAAUAGGAAAGGGCAAUAUAGGUGGAUUCAAGGCGCUUGAAUCGUUUCCAGCCAAGGCAUAACCCGAAGAACCUACUUCGAGCAAGAUUUAUGUGUGCUGCUUCUAUAUGUGGCUUGAUUAAAGACUGAUGUGAUUCAGGGUGGUUUUCCGGCGAGUUGGAUACUCUGACUCGGGUAAAGAUGUUGGGUGUUUUGCUGGGACUAAUGUUGUAUAGUGAUAGUUGUUUGUUUUGCGGGUAAAGAUGUUGGGCUUUGAGUCUUAGCAGAGUAGCAAGUCCUUGGAACUUCAAUUUAAUUCCUGGGUUUGCAUACAAUAGGGCCCGUAAUUUAAUACCUACAGUCAUUACAUAUUUGAUGACUAUUUUUUUCAUUGUUUUAAUAAACGGACAAGCCGGUUCAAUCAGGAUUUAGAAGGUGUGCCUGUUCAUUUUUGCUAAACGAACGGCUGAACCAGAUCCAUUGUGGUUCAGGUGCUGGGUUUACUUUAUAUGGGUGUGAAAACUUUGUGUUUUGUUAAGAUGCCCGAUGUGGGACUCCUUUUUUGUGGUAGAAAAAUACCUUUUAGUUUUGUGGGACUCUUUAAGUGUAGAUAGGUUAAAUUUGAAUAAAUUUUUUGUAUCAGUCUAGAAGUCUAGAACUCGUGAUCUAAAAGAAUUAGAAAAUCUCUUUUUUGCCAACUUCGUGUCGGUGGUCUACUAAUGUUUCUUAAUGAUAAUAAUGUUGGCAGGCGAAACAAUAGUCAGUCUAUUUAAUGAUGCCAUCAAGUGGCUCAUAAGACAAGAUGCACACAAAUGGUUAUUGAACACAAGUACUCAUAUCCACGUACCAUACAACCAUUUGAAGCCUUAAGAGGGCAAACAAUACUUUUUGAGCUUAGGAUCAAUAGCCGCUCCCACCCAGACGCGACACAGUUUGUUUUCAGCCAAGUGCUCAAUGCAGUAGCCACUAUACAACAAAUUCCUCUCUUUAUUUGCUGAUAUGUAGUAAGUGCAAAUUCUGGUAAGAAGCAAUCAUUAGAAGAGAUGUUGGUGGCCAAAUUGCACAUUCUGCAGGAGCUUCAUUGAGCUUGCCUUAUACAAGUAAGACAGGUAAAGUAGCAAGGAUUAAAUAUACAACUUCAUUCACCUCAGCAAGCUGUGAAUACAAGAUUGUCCAUGUAUUGAGUCAUAUUUACAAGAUUGUCCAUGUAUUGAGUCAUAUCCUAACCUUGGGCUAUAGAAUCCGACUUUGUUAAAAUAUAUGUUUAUCAUUGGCCGUCAACUUUGGAUGAUUCCUUUCAUCAUGUACAAUCAUACUUGGUAUAUGGUUUGAUUCGAACCUUGGGCUAUAGAACCCGUAAUCGCUUAUUUCAACAUCUGUCAUCU